rnacentral:lncRNA from 1 species
UCUGGCAGAAACUUUACUGACUUAGAAGCAGCUGAACUCACUGCUGGGGUCCUCGGUUCCUCGGGUCCGAACCUACAUAGGUGGACUCAAAUGAGAGACCAAACAACUAGAACAUAACUCUAACAACAUCCCCCAAAAACCCCCAAAAACACCUCAAAACAAUCAUGCAAAAACAUGCAAAGGAAGGCAGAACAGGGCAGGUUCGGCGGCACCUUCGGCGGCCGAAAGUCCCAGACAGAGACGAAAGUCUCUUUUCGGGGGCAACUUCGGCAGCCGAAAGGCCUGCCUCCCCAGCCAUGUUCGGCGGCCGAAAGUUCCUUCGGCUGCCGAACCUGGUUUCUGCCAAAGGGCAGAAACUUGGCUCCUUUAAGCACAUUUGCCUCCAAAACUUCCAAUCAUACAUUUAGCUCAACCAAAACAUGCAAAUAUACAUACAUUGGCUCCUAGGGGCUUCAAACUAACUUAAACCCCAACUACAACACACAAUAAUAACACAAAUCCAACAUACAUUGCUCAAAACAUAACAUUAACUCAAAAACCUAACUAUGAGCUAAACAUGCAUUCUACCCCAUAGAUCUUUUAUAAAACUUACUUUAAACAUGAAAUGAGCUUAAGAUCGGCUCUUACCUCUUGAAGAUCGAGAGAGAGACGUCCUAGACUCGGAGGUGGGAGAUUUUUGAGUUCUUGAACCUCAAAACUCCAAAACUUGCUUUAAACUCGAAAAUCUUCAAAACAACGUAAAAACUUGUGAAAAUCUUGAAAGAUUUGAAGGAAAGAACUCAAGGAUGGUGAGGAACGGCGGAAGGGCUCACCUUGGCCGAAAAUGGGGAGAAAGCUCGCCCAUUUCGGCUAAGGGGCUCUUUUAUAGUGGCUGGCCAGGCCACAUUCGGGAGCCGAACGUGCCCCCGCAUGCAUGCCAUGUUCGACGGCCGAACUUGAGGUUCGGCGGCCGAACCUGGGCUUCCCUCACUUAUGCUUUCGAGGGCCUAAGGCUCACCCGAAAAGCAUGCAUGUUCGGCGGCCGAACUUGAGUUUCGGCGGCCGAACCUGAGUUUCCUCCAAUGGUGUUUUUAUUCAAAAACUCAAUUGCUCUUUACUUAAAAUCAUCAAAAACAUUAAAACAUUUCAUGGAAACAUGGUUUUACCCUUCUAGAGGUCUCCGACAUCCGAGAUUCCACCGGACGGUAGGAAUUCCGAUACCGGAGUCUAGCCGGGUAUUACAGUCGUCUACAUACAAUGAUAAGUUUACUAAUUUAUUCUUGGAUCUUUUUGGUAUAUUUACAAUGAUCCUUAUUGAUCAUAAUGAAAUCAUAAGACCCGACUGUAUUAUGAAAUCUAAUAUACCACAGUCUCGAAGACUGUUUAAGGCUCUAGAAUGACUUUAAGAAUCUAAACACUUUGUGUUCUUAGCUAUUUACACCGAAACCUAUGGGUUGUUUUUCAUAUACAUUUUAAUUCUCCAUUUGAGAAAAAAAAUAAUCUUCAUAUCUAUUUGAUAUAAUUUAAGAUCUAAAUUAGUAACUAAUGCAAUAAAAAAAAAACUUAUCGAGGUAAACCUUACAACAAUUUAAAAAAAAAACUUAUAAUUCUUUUCCUUCAUAUUGUGUAUACCCCUAGCUACCAAAUGAGUUUUAUAUCUCUUGAUAUUGCUGUUAGCCUUACGCUUCACUUUGAGAAUCUACUAAUUCUCAAUGGCUUUAUGUCCUCAUGGCAACUUUACAUUGACCAACUCUUCAUUGAUUUCAUUUUUCAUUCCAUUGUUUUAAUUCAUUUUUUUCAUAGCUAAAGGUCUAAGAGUUUAAGAAAUACAUUUCUCACCUCAUCUCUAUCAGCAGUAACAAUAAAUACUUCCCUUUCAAUCUUAAAAUGAUAACUAAAAAUCAUUAGAUAACUUGUUCAUCAUAGCUGAGAUUAAUCUAUUGACUCAUCAAUAGGCAUGUUACUCCUACUUGGACCAAAUUCUUUGACAAGACUUACUUUAGAAAGCAAUUAUGAAAUUAAUAACCAUAUAUAUUUGUAUCCAAAUUGCUCCCACUCGGAAGUAUAUCCAUCAAACUUUUUAUAGCGAAAGCAGCCUUGUCGCAAGUUUAAUUUAGAGGUAAGACUUAUCCUAUCUUCACAUACUUUAAAAAAAAAUUCUGAAAAUGUGAUAUCCUAUUAUUCAAACUCAAUUAUACUUUCAUCCUCUUAUUCACUAAAGAACAUAUAUCCUUUUAACUGCUCAAAAUGUCUAAGAAAGAACAUGUCCUUCCUCUUAGACCUAAAAAUUAUGAAGGUUCCUAAGUAAUUUUAUAACCUUGUGGUUUUAAAGUCCACAAAUAAAUUCGUGUUUAGUCCAUAAUUCAUAUGGAAUGGAAGUUACUAAUUACGUGGUUAUUAGAUUGAGCUCAAUUGUAAUUACUAAUAAUGUAUAACCCCAAUACAUGAUUGAUAAAAUUAGCUUAUCUCAUUAUUGAUCUAAUCUAAUAGGAUUCUAUUUCUUCUCUCUAUUACAUAAUUCCUAAAUUGCUUUGACAUAAAUUUUUUACCUUGAUUGAUUCUUAAAGCUUUUAAUUUUUUGUAUAAUUAAUUCUCAACUAAAUCCAAAAAUUUAAUGAAGCAACUUAAAGUCUCAUUUAGUGAGAUAUCAAAUAGACCUAACCUUACAAUAAAUAGUCAUUAAUUACAAAAUAGAUGCUCCUUAUACCUAGCCCCACAUGUAUAGAAUCACAUUGAUUAGAAUAGAUUAAUUGCAAUAGAAAUUCAGCUCUUAUUUUCUCACAAAAAAAGUUUCCUCGAUAUUUUCAAAUUGAGCAAUAUUUACAAAUGGAUAUAUCUACUUUGUUAAUACUACUUAAUAGGCUCUAUUUGGCUAAUCACUACAUAUCUUUUAACCUAUUGAUCAAGCCAAGAUUAGUACCAUUUUUCAUAUUGUUAUUUAUAUUACUUUACACAUUUUCUACCUAAUUUUGUGAUUUUGAUCUUAUUUUGCAUAAAGUGGUGUAAAAGGGUAAUUUGGUAAAAAUGGCCUUAAAACUGCCCAAAAGAGAGCAAAAGAGAACAAGCUGGUUUGCCCAAACCAAAGUUGAAGCUGAAAUGGGAGAAGAAUAAUCUGUUGUUUGACCAGACUGUUUGCCCAAACAGACUGGGUAAACAGACCAGCAGGACAGAAGCAGUGCACAGACAGCAAGGAAAACAGACUGUUUACUCGAGCUGUUUGCCCAAACAACCCAGGCAAAUAGCACUUGCACCGGCAGACAGCAGUUGCGGGAAAUUUGAAUUUUGAAUAUUUAAGAAGUCUUCUCCACACCAAACACGUGAAGACAGCUCAACAAGUCAAUGAUACACCUCAGCACUCUAACCUAUAUAUUUAAGAAGCCAAAUCUCAAGAAGAUAUACUUGCCUUCCAAGAAUUCAAGUCCAAAUAGGAAAAGGAGUUUCAUCUCAACAAGGAAACUUAGGGCAACCUCUUCAGCUAUAAAAGGAAAAGCAAACCAGUAAAGAAUCAUUUUUGGAUUAUAUCUCCAUCUUCGGCAGAACCACAGUAGCAGUUGCGCGCACCAGCUGCCAGCCCUUCUUCUUCCUUUUUCUUUUUUUCUUUCUUUAUUUUCUUGUUAGUGGCUGAAACCCUUAUUUCUAGUUGAAGAUUAGGUGAAACUUCAAGUUGUUUAUGGAUUGUGAGAUCUGAACUUAUUAUGUUCUUUUAUUUAUCAAUAUUUAUGCAAUUUCAUGCUUAAUUCUAUUAUUGCUUUGUUGUUUAGAUCAAUAGAGCCCAUUGACUCUUGAUUGCAAAGUAAUAACUUGUUAGUUUGGAUAGUUUUAAGUCCGUAAUUGCUUGAAUUAUUCAAACACAAGAACACUUGGUGUAAAAACUAAGGAAAUUGCAUGAUCUAGUAAUAUCACCAUACGUUUGGGUAGCUAGAAUUAGGUCUCUCUAUUUUUUAAUGCAAUUAACGGUUGUUAGAUGCCAAAGGCUCCAAGAACGUUCCUUAGCAGCUUGUUGAUUAGUGAUUAAUUAGAGGACGUUCCCUAAUUAGUCUAUGCUUAAGGAGGGAUAUGGAGGUGAGAAGCGUCUUCCACCUCCAUAACUAAUUUAUUGAGUCAAAUAAGAGAAUUUAAGUUUCAAUGAUCAAUCCCAACAACUGAAGUAGAUUCAAUUCUUCAACUAGAGAUUUUCUCAUUAUUGAAUCUCUUUACUUUAUUAUUUGCUUUUCUUUAUUACUUUCAAUAUUAGCUUAGUUUAUCAAACCUCAAACCUUCCCAUUUUACUUUUAUUGUCUAUUUAUUUACUUGGUCAUUGAUAGGAAGAUAAGUAAGUAUCAAGUCCCUGUGGAUUCGAUCCUUUUACCGCUAUCUACAGUUAUAAAAUUGUGGAUAACCAAAAAGGUUAUUUUUGACCGGCUUCGACAACCGCACAGUCACCUAUGUAGCCAAGCAAAGCAUGUCACAUAUUUACAUCAUUUAUAGAUAUAUUAAACGAUAUGAAAUAGGAAAAACAUAUACUCUGGGAGUUACUUAUAACAUCUGAAGCCAAUAUAACUAUUCAAAAAAAAAAAAUCUAGAACCACUAGAACUUGUACUUUAAAUAAUUUUACAGCUUUUUCAUAAAAAAUAUAACCAACAUAGAAACUUAAUUCCAAUGAAUUUAUUAAAUAAAUUGGAUAUUAUUUAGGAGCAGGAUCCACCUACUACAUAUAGUAAGCUUGCAAGUGUUUAAACCCUUCACCACUUUGGAGUUAUUUCCUAACGAAUAUCCAACUUCUCCAUAGAAGAAGUCAUCAAAAUUCUACGAAAGUAUUCUGAUCCUGUUAUAUACAUUCAAAACAUUUAAAUCUUAUCAAUAUUUUCCUUUUGCUAUCUGAAAGGACCCUUUGCCCUUCCUUUAUUGUUGUUUCUUAUUGGACUAAACUCUUAUAUUUUACUAGUUUCUACCUUGAUAUUUUCACUAGUUCCCCACUUGGCAUAUUCAUUAAUGAAUUCCAUUACAAGUUGUCUAUAAGAUCUGAUGACCUUCUCUUAAGUAGAAUCCAAAAAUUCUUUUACAUUGGAAUUAAGCAACACGGUCCUUAAAGAACACAUAUCUUUCUCUGUCUUGUAAAAUACCAUGUUUCCAUAUAAUCAGUUGCAUCCUAUCAUUCACAUUGAUGAUAAACUACACUAGAUGGUUUAUCUCAUCUGAAGUGUCUAUAGGAACCAUCUCGAAGAUGAUCAUCUAUCUAAUAAUCUCAUCUACCUAAACUCUUUAUUUAGUAGAAGUGUUUGUAUGGGUCCAGAAUGACCUGCAUCCCAUUGGAAGCUGACAUUAUACUUCUGUACACAAGAAAAUAAAAUAAUAAUCCGCAAAAUAAAAAAAAAGAUAGCAACAACAUUAACAAAAAACACUUCGGACAUUUUUCCAAAAAAUAUUUAAUAAUAAUUUAAAAAUAUUAAAAAAUAAUUAUAUAAAAAUGCCUAAUUUCAAUUUUUUUAUAAAUGUCACUCAUCAAAAGAAUUUUUUUUAAUAAAUUUUGGACCAAGAAUUUAUUUUUUUUAUUUUCUUGUUUUAUUUUUUUAAAAAAUUCCUUAAAAGAAAAAACAGACUGGGCCUGCUAAACCCAGGCGCAAGCGCUUGGGCUAGCAAGCGCUUGGGCUGGCAAGCCCAGCGCUUGUGCCCCGCUGAGUCUAGGCUGUUAAGCCUAAACUUGCGCCUAUUGUGCGAGGGUGGUGUGUGUGAUGCACGCGACAUGCCCUGCCUUUUAGGCCCUUAAAGCUGCCUAUUUCUUCUUCAGUAGAUUUUCAGGUACUCUGAAUCAUUAUGUGGUGUCAAAUUUUAUAAAAAAUUAACUUAUCCUAUAGUUUAGAUUCACCUACCCUUUAUUGUAAAUAAAACAUGUUCUAGAAAUAUCCUAAAAGAAAGAAAUUAUAUCUAAAAAGGAUCUCAACUUUGAUCGUUUAUCUCUCAGCCAAUAUAAAUAAAAAAAUUCGUAUAAUUAUCGUUGAAAAACUUAUUUCAAGAGCUUUUCAAUAAUACUUGAUGUAACACAAUAAUCAUCCAAAGUAAGCAAUAAACUGACACUAUAAGACAGGACCACGUGGUAAGGGUCUGAUAAGCCGAUAUGCAGUCCUACCCAUGGAAAGGAAGAUCUGGACACCGUAGCACCCGGUUCUCUAUCAAGACUCGCCUUAUUCAGAAAAGGUCGAGUCUUCACAUAAAAUUACUGUUGGUAGGUACAAUCUAGCAGAUCUCCAUUACUCUAGUAAUUAUGGAAUCUCCAAUUAAUUAGCCAGUAGGAUCCCUUAUUAAUUAGCCAACACUCGCCAUAUUUCUAGAAAAUAUUAUAAUUAACUCCAUCUUCUUACAGUAUAAAAGCUAAUGAUUGCAGAGACAAAGGUACGCUAUUCUUUUACAUAACUACUCUUGAGUUCUAAGCAAUUCCUUAUACCCGCCCUAUUCUUCAGUUUACUGACUUGACGGAGUGGCUGUCAUAGGUAUUAAUCACCUCACAUUCUCUCUCCUGUAGGGUUGACCAAUCACAACACAUCUCCUUUUCGGCUACAUCAUUUGGUUCUAUUGCCGGGAACUCCAUUGAAUUCUCUCUGUUCAUUUAGAUUAAAAUCGGUCCCUUAUCCCCUAUCACUUAAAAAGAAAUCUUUUUUUUUUCUUUCUCUCGAAAUGGCUGGUAGUUUAUGAGCUAUUGCUAAGGUUACUACCAAAUGAAGGCGCUAUUAUUUCUUUCACUCCUAACACUGGACAAAACACACCCUCAAUGGUUAAUGAAGCAAAUCUCAACAAUCUGAACAAUGAGUAAAUGCUCUAAUACAUCAAAAGGUUGCAGGCUACCUCGAGUAAUACAAAGCUCAAGGGUAGGUGUCAUUCAUGGCUCCUAGGAAAAGGGAGGAAGCCUCCAUUGAUACCCCAAAGACUCGGAUAGAAGCGAUCCUUACACGGUCUAUGGGAAAGGACGAGUUCGACGAAGAAGGAUUGCCAGACAAUGCUCUGAAGGACGCUGACUGGAAGCUAGUACGGGUUGUUCAAAGGUACCAAAAGGAACAAGAGGAUGACUAUGGCCUGGACAAUGCCUCACCCCUGUCAUAAGAGAUCUUAGUAGAAACUUUUCCAACUAAGUUCAAACUGUCUAGUUUGAAUAAAUAUGAUGGAACAGUAGAUUCCAAAAGUCACCUGACAAUCUUUAGGAUGACCAUGCAGCUUCAAGAUGUCAAUGACUUCAUGUUGUGCCUAGUGUUUCCAUAAACACUCACAGGUUUGGCUAAAAAAUGAUACCAACAUUUGAGCCCAAGUUUAAUUCAGAACUUUACGCAAUUCACAAUGUUAUUUAAAUUCAGGUUUAUUACUUGCAUACCUCUUAAAAAACUCUCAUCUGACUUGCAGAAGAUCUGCCAAGGAAAAGGCGAGUCUUUAAGGAGUUUUAUCUCAUGGUUUAAUGUAAAAACAAUACAGAUAGAGGAAUUAAAUCAUGAGAUAGGAUGUGGAGUAUUGAAGAAAGGAACACGUAGCGUCAAGUUCAUAGAUUUCCUAAUUAAAAAUCCAGCCACUACAUACCAAUAGUUGAUGGACAAAAUUUAGAAGUGUAUCAGGCUUGAUGAUGAAGUUUGAGCGUUGAGAGAGGAUGAAGGGACAGGUCAAAACCAAAGUCAAAAGCUAGAGAGGCGAGAGUAUAAAGGAGACCGUAGAAGUUACCUAAUCUCUCGAAGAAGGGACAACCAAGGUAAGUAUGAGAAUUACACUCCGCUGAAUGACUUAUGGACAAAUAUUUUAAUGUAGAUCAGAAAAAAUAGCAAAGAUAUCAAAUGACCCACCAAGCUUAACUCGAACAAGUCAGGCAUGCAAGAUAGAAUAAAGUAUUACCGAUUUCAUGAGGAUCAUGGGCACACUAUGGAAGAAUGCUAGUAGCUAAAAGAGGAAAUUGAGAGACUAAUAAGAGAUGGCAAGCUCUGAAGGUUUUUUUUUUUUUUAUAAAAGAUAGAGAAGAAAAGAGGUUAGGACCUAGGGUAAUAACACUUGUCAAACCUGAUGAAAAUAAACCCGUGGGGGUUAUUCACGUACUUGCCGGAGGACCGAGUGGAAAUAAUGGUCUAUAGAAGUAGAAUGUUACAGAUAUUCAGCUCUUGAGUCAAACUCCGAGUUUUGAAAUUGGUCAAGUUAGAUGACCGAGCCUUUUAAAUUAUUCUUGAAAGAAUGCCUAUAAUUUAUGGAAAUGUUACUAAACUAUGAUAUAUUCUUCAAACUUUUUUUUGAUUUUUGAUAUCAGACACGUUGGAUGGAUGAAAGCGUGGAGACAAGAGCAAAGCCAUAAGGCAAGAAUCUGCUAGGCCAUAAUCCGGGUGUUAAUUCUGCUAAUAAAGAAAUUUUAUGCCAGGCCACAGGGCAAGUUUCGUUAGACCAUAAUCUGAGUGUUAGUCCUGCUAAACAAGGUAUUUUAUGCCAGGCCACAGGGCAAGUUCCGUUAGACUAUAAUCUGAGUGUUAGUCCUGCUAAACAAGGCAUUUUAUGCCAGGCAACAAGGCGGGCUUCACGAGGCCACAAUCUUGGUGUUAGUCCCAUUAAUUAAAGCAUCUUAUACCAAGCCACAAGGCAAGUUGACUCGCGGUUAUCGAAGCCGGUCAAAAAUAACCUUUCUGAUUAUCAACAAUUUACAACUGCAGAUAGUGGUGAAAGGAUCGAAUCCACAGAGAAUUGAUUACCAAUCUAUUUUUCUCAACAAGACCAAGAGAAUUAACUGAAAGCACAAUUGAAAGUAAGUAACUGAAAGCAGAAUAGAAGUAAAGUGCAGUAAAAGUAAAAAGGGGGGUUUUGAGAUUGAUUUGAUUAACAACUACUGAAAGCAAUUAAAUCACUACUGAAAGCAAUUAAACCAGCAACUAAUUAAAAUAAAAGAGAAUUCAAUAUGAGAAAGGUCUAGUUGAAGAUAUGGAUCCACCUUGGUUGUUUGGAUUGAUCAUUAAAACUUAGUUAUCUUGAUUGAUUCAAUAGAUUAGUUAUGGGGGUGGAAGACGCUUCUCACCACCAUGUCUCUCCUUAUGAAUAAAUCAAUUAGGGAAUGUUCUCUAAUCAAUUACUAAUCAACAAAUUUCCAAAGAACGUCCUUGGGCCAUAGGCAUCAAAACAAUUGUCAAUUGCAUGAAGAAAUAGAGAGAUCCAAUCCUAGCUACUCCAAACGCAUGAAGAUGGUGCUAGAUCAUACAAUUUCUUGGUUUUUACACCAAGUGUUCUUAGAUCAGAAUAUUUUCAGCAAUUACGGACUAAAAAAAUAUCUCAACUAACAAUUUAUUACCUUGCAAUCAAGAAUCAAGUGGUCAAUUUGAUCAAAACAGCAAAGCAAUCUUGGAAUUAAAGCAUCAAUUGCAUGAAUAUUGAACAAAAUCAAAGACAAUAGUUUAUGAUCAGAUCUCACAAUCCAUUAAACAACCUUAGUUUCAACCAAUUCUCAACUAGAAUAGGAGUUUCAGCCACUCAUGGCUGAACCAAAACAGAAAAUUAAAGAAAAGAAGAAGAAAGAGGAACCGAUUUGAUGGAAAAGCCUUGGAGUGUGGCUGCCCUUGCUUGGCCGAAUUUGGGGAGUUGAAUUCUGCCUCUUCUAGGCUGCUUGAAGGCUUUAAAUAUGUCUUGGGAGGCUGCCUAGGGUUUCAUGGCAGUCCAUGAGUCUUUUAGAGGCUGCCUAAAGUGCCCUUGGUCCAACAUGUGCCUUCUAUGUGCAUGUGUGAAGGAAAAAACGUGGAGCAUGUCUUGAAUUGCAAGUGGGGGCUCUUUAGUCUUUUAAUUGCUGUCCAAGGUCUUCAAUAUACUGCCCAAGGUGUGUCCAAGAGGCUUCCCAAGUGUCAAGUUGCUGCCCAAGUGUCAAGUUGCUGCCCAUGCAAAAAUAAGGAAGGUGGAGCCUCCUUUUGCAAUUUUAAAUUUUGAAUGUGCAAGGCAUGUGUGGCAUGUGUGACUUUCUUUGGCUUCUUUGGCAAGCUGAAUCUUGAAAUUCAAUAUUUGAAUAUGAAUCUUGAAGAUUUAAAUUUCAAAAUACUUUCCUUGUUUGGCUCUCCAUUUAUGGCAACUUGAGAUAUGAUUUCUUGAAUAAGGAAAGAAGGCAACUUGAGAUUUGAAAUUUGAAUUUCAAAUUGCUUUGGCUGAAUGUUCUUUCCUUCUUUGGCACUUUUCUUAUUUAGAACUUUCUAUAUUGAGCUUUUCUUGAUUUCAACUUGGCAGGCUUGCUCUCUUUUGCUCCAAAUAAGGCAGUUUUAGGGGCAUUUUCUCCAAAGUGUCCUUUUACACCAUUUUCUGCAAAAUAAUACCAAGAGCACUAAAUUAAGCAGAAAUCAUGUAAAUAAUCAUCAAUAAUAUCAAGAUAAAAUGGACUAGAAUAUGUUCUAUCAAAUACCCCCACACUUAGCCUUUUUCUUGUCCUCAAGCAAAUAAACAUAGUCAAAUAAGCUUUCUUUGCUCUAAAUCCUUAUUUCCACUUAAGCUCUUACUCAAGACACCUAUUUUGAAUCAUUGCAGUGAAGAAUAUAUGCAUGAAGAUUACUCAACUUCUUUCCUUGUUUCCCUUUACUUACCAUGGCUAGGAUCUAUUUUCCUCAAGAGAGACCAUACAUGCACAUUAUUUGUUCAGAUAAGACUUUUUCUAGCUUUCAGAGUGACUUGUCCUUACCUUGAUGUACUUUAUUUAGGCUUUUGCACUUAGAUUUUGCUUGAAAAAGUCACCAACCUUUUGACGUGAAGGUACAUAUUUGUGAUACCCACCUCCAGUUACUCAGUUGGUCACCUGUCCAAGUGGCUACUAGCUCUGUUCGUAGUCUUUUGACCAUUGGAACAGUUUUUUAAGUUUGUGCUUUUGAGGUCUUUGCCUUUGCUAAAUUUUCUUUUUCUCAAUGAUUUGGGCAAAUCAACACCAAUUGCUAAAUCAAGUUAUGUUAAGUUCAUUUACACAAAUUUCAAUUCAUUCUCUUCAAUUGAGGGUCAUCAAUAUAUUUUUCACCAUAGCAAGCUCAACGAUUCAAUUCAAAAGGCAAUUCUCAAACAUGAAUAUAACUCACUGCAAUUGAUUCAACAUAAGUUUAAAGAGUCAUCACAUCAAUGGAGUCAUGGCAAGAAAACUCAUCCAACAUAGUUCAUCAGUUUGAGUAAAACAAAUCAAAAAGAAGAAGAAGGUUGUGGUUGUGUGUGUGUUAUUGAAAGCAUAAAACAAACAAAAAGAAAACUGAAAGCAUAAAUCGCAUAACUGAAAGGAAAAAUCGGAAAGAAAAUAAAAUUUUUUUCGCAAAUCUGAAAGGGAUCUUGCGCAAAACUGAAAGGAAAGAGGAGAAGAAGAAAGAAGAAGAAGAAGAGAAGUAAGAAGAGAUAUGCACCCCCACACUUAAAUCAUGCAUUGUCCUCAAUGUAAAAGAAAAGAGAAGAACAAAGGAAUCUGAAUACUCCCCUGGGGUGUGGUGUGCAUGGCGUGAUCACUAGGCAGACUGAGAUGGUUUUUGUAGUGGAAUUUCUUCUACUAUUUGUACUGCGAAUCCUUCAUAGAAAGGUUUCAGGCGAUGGCCAUUCACCUUGAAGAUUUUUCCUAUCUCUACACUACGAAUUUCUACAGCUCCAUGUGGAUAAGCAUGUUCCACAAUGAAUAGUCCAAUCUACCUAGACCGUAGCUUACCUGGAAACAAUUUUAAACGAGAGUCAAAGAGUAAGACUUUAUCACCAACCUUAAAUUGUUUUCUUGAAAGCUGACUGUCAUGGGAGGCUUUGGUUUUUGCUUUGUAGUUCCAAGAGUUCUCAUAUGCAUCUCGUCUGAUUUUCUCUAGUUCUUGCAGUUGCAACUUGCGAUGUUGUCCAGCUUCUUUGAGGUCCAUGUUGUAAUUCUUUACAGCCCAAUAUGCCUUGUGUUCAAGUUCAACUGGAAGGUGACAAGCUUUUCCAUAGACCAAUCUAUAAGGAGACAUACCUAUGGGGGUCUUGUAAGCUGUCCUGUAGGCCCAUAAAGCGUCCGCCAAACUUGAGCUCCAAUCCUUGCGGUUGGGAGAAACUGUCUUUUCAAGGAUGGCUUUGAUUUCUCUAUUGGACACUUCAACUUGCCCAUUUGUCUGAGGAUGGUAGGUUGUGGAUGUCCUAUGUAUGACAUUAUGUUUUCUGAGGAGGCUCUCUACUACCUCAUUGCAAAAGUGGGCCCCUCUGUCACUGAUGAUUGCCUUUGGUACUCCAUGUCGAGCAAAGAUGUUGGUCUUCACAAAGUCUAUCACUACUUUGGCAUCAUCAGUCUUUGUUGCUCUAGCUUCCACCCAUUUGGACACAUAAUCCACUGCAAGGAUGAUGUAAGUGUAUCCAAAGGAUGGUGGGAAUGGGCCCAUGAAGUCUAUAUGCCAUACAUCAAACACAUCACAGACCAUGAUGGGGUUCUGUGGCAUUUGAUUUCUUUUGCUCAGAUUUCCAGUCUGUUGACACCUAGCACAAGAUCUGCAAAAGAGAAAGGCAUCUCGAAAAAUAGUGGGCCAAAACAGACCACUUUCAAGUAUCUUAUGAGCAGUCUUUCUUGGACCAAAGUGUCCACCACAACUAUAUGAAUGACAAAAAGUGAGAACUGAAGCUAUUUCUUGGUCUGGAAUACAUCUCCUUAUUAUUUGGUCAGCACAAUGUUUCCACAAAUAUGGCUCAUCCCAAACAUAGUAUUUGGCAUCUUUCUUUAUCUUAUCUUUGGUGUGUUUUGGCAUGUCAGAAGGAAAGUUACUUGUGGCCAGAUAGUUUACCAUGUCUGCAUACCAUGGUUCAUCAGAUUGGGCAAGGAAGAUUUGCUUAAGUAUGUCAUUGUUAUAUUCUUCAGAUUCUGAGAGGUGUUGCAAGGGUGUCUGCACAGAGGUGGUUUCAGAAGUCUCCUUUUGCGCAGGACUUGACUGUAGAGGAGGUGGCGUAGAACUGGAUUCAGAGGUCUCUUCUUGCGCAAGACUGGACUGAGAGGGAAGUGGAAAGGAGCUGAUUUGCGUGGGAGGCUGAAAGGGUGUGCCUGAAAGGCUUUCAGGUGCCUCUUUCUACGCAAUGCCCUUCUGCGCAUUCUUCUGAAGAGGUGCUUUAGAGGUUCCUUCAUUCUGUGCUUUUCUGACUCUCAUUCCUGCAAAGGUCAUCAUUCAGAAUACAAUCUUGAUUCUCAUCAAAUAUUUCCUGGCUUAAGCAGUUAAUAAUAUCAAGACCAUAAACAGGGGACAUAUCAUGUAGAUAUUUCAUAGCAUCAUAGACAUUGAAUUUAAUGACUUCCCCUUCAAACUCCAUACUCAAAGUACCAUUAUGCACAUCAAUCUUAGUCCUAGCAGUACUCAAGAAAGGUCAUCUAAGAAGGAUAUCAGAACUAGUAUUGCAACUAUCUUCCUUAGUAUCAAUCACAUAAAAAUAUACAGGAAAGACAAGUUCAUCUACUUGCACUAACACAUCUUCUAGAACACCUAUGGGAUAUACCACAGAUCUAUUAGCUAAUUGAAUCACAACUCUUGUGUCUUUCAGUGCACAUGCAUUCAGAGAUUUGUAGACGGAAAGAGACAUGACAUUAAUGGAUGCACCAAGAUCACACAUGGCUUUUUUAAUACCAACAUUCCCUAUCUUGCAAGAAAUAAUAAGCAUACCUUUGUCUUUGCAUUUAGUAGGGAGUUCUCUUUUAAUUACAGCAGUAACUACUUCACCUACACUUACUUUCUCUCUCUCAGCAAGCUUUCUUUUAUUGGUGCAAAGUUCUUUCAGAAAUUUUGCGUACCUGGGAAUCUGCUUAACAGCAUCUAGCAGAGGUAUGUUGAUUUUCACCUUUCUGAAGGUGUUAAGGAUCUCCUUUUCUUCCUUUUCUUUUUGUGUUCUUUCAAAUCUUUUUGAAAAAGGAGGUGGAAUCUGAAAUCUUACUUUUUGAUCAGUUUUGUGCUCAGGGAUGGGUUCAGAUUGCGCUGAAGGUGUUGCAGAUGCUUGCCCUUGCGCAAAUGGCUCUUCAGAAUGCGCUGGAGAGGCUUUUGAAUCAAUUGGUUUUUGCGCUUCUUGCUUUUCUUGCUCAUAACUAGCAUUUUGAAGCUCUUUUCCACUUCUCAAAGUGAUGGCACUAACAUUCUGUCUGGGAUUAGUUUCUGUUUGAGAAGAGAGCUUACCUUGGGUUUCAGAUUUGCUCAUUAGCUGUCCCACCUGUUGUUGGAGAGUCUGCACAGAAUUUGUAAGUGUUUCUAUCAUCCUUUCAAGGUGCUGAUUGGAACUUGAAGGUGUUGGUUGGGCCUGAUUCCUGUGGAAGUUCUGAUGGUUCUGAAUAUUGUUGGCCCUUCCAUAGCUGAAAUUGGGAUGGUCUCUCCAUCCUGGAUUGUAUGUGUUGGAAUAUGGAUCAUGUUUAGGCUGGUAGUUAUACCCUCCAAUGGCAUUUGCUUGUUGGUGGUCUUCUUGGAGUGUAGGACAUUGAUCAGUUGGAUGUCCCACAUAUGCACAAAUCCCACAUGGCCUAGGUGGCUGGGAUGCUUGAAUCUGUUGCACCAGUCCUAUGGCAAAAUCUUUCAUAACAGAUGUUAGUUCAGAAAUAGUAGGUGAACUUACCUCAUUGACUCCUCUCUGCAGUUGCUUUUCUUCUCCAUAUUACCUAGAUGAGGCUGCAAGUGUUGAGAUCAACUCUCGCAUCUCCCUAGGUGUCUUGUCUACAAUGGAUCCUCCACAAGCUACAUCAAUGAAUCUCCUUUCUGAAGGGGACAUUCCUCCAUAGAAGAACUGUAUGAGGGACCUGUUUGACAUAUGAUGUUGUGGACAACCUGUACAUAGUCUUUCAAACCUUUCCCAAUAAUCAUAUAAGUCCUCAGUUGAUUUCUGUCUUAUGUUAGUGAUCUCUCUUAUUAUGCCAAUUGAUUUAGAUGUUGGGAAGUAUUUGUUCAAAAAGGUUUGGACCAUAUCAUCCCAAGAAGUGAUAGAUCCAGGUGGCAAAUAAAAUAACCAAUCCUUAGCAUAGUCAUCUAAUGAAAAAGGAAAAGCUCUUAACUUAACAUGAUCUUCAGAGAUACCUUAAGGUCUCAUAGAUGAACAGACAAUAUUGAAUUCUUUCAAGUGCUUUUGUGGAUUUUCAUUUUGCAAACCUCUAAAUUUAGGGAGAAGAUGAAUCAAACCUGUUUUCAGUUCAAAUGGAACUGUCAGAGGUGGAUAGGUGAUGCAAAGUGGUGCAUGAUCACCUACAGGUGUUGCCAAUUCUCUCAUGGUUCUUUCUCUUUGUGCUUGGGGUCUAAUGGCUGGAUUUUCUUGAAUUAUUUGGUCUUGGACAGCAUGUCCAUUAUUGGCAGCAACUUGUGGAAUAUGUUCAGCCAUUUCAGGAGCUUGGUUGUGUGGUUGGAGUGUUUCAGAUGAAGCUUCUGCGCAAGAAGACUGCUCAGGCGCAAGUGCGGCUUCAGUUGUGUGUUUAGGCGCAGUGGCUUGCUUUCCUAGUCUUCUGAGAGUGCGUUCAAUUUUUGGAUCGUAAGGGAGAGUGUCCCUACGUUCAGAUCUGGUCAUGAAAGAAAAUUAAACAAGUAAAAUCAAUUCCCCGGCAACGGCGCCAAUUUUUGACUCGCGGUUGUCGAAGCCGAUCAAAAAUAACCUUUCUAGUUAUCAACAAUUUACAACUACAGAUAGUGGUAAAAGGAUCAAAUCCACAGAGAAUUGAUUACCAAUCUAUUUUUCUCAACAAGACCAAGAGAAUUAACUGAAAGCACAAUUGAAAGCAAGUAACUGAAAGCAUAAUAGAAGUAAAGUGCAGUAAAAGUAAAAAGGGGGGUUUUGAGAUUGAUUUGAUUAACAACUACUGAAAGCAAUUAAAUCACUACUGAAAGCAAUUAAACCAGCAACUAAUUAAAAUAAAAGAGAAUUCAAUAUGAGAAAGGUCUAGUUGAAGAUAUGGAUCCACCUUGGUUGUUUGGAUUGAUCAUUGAAACUUAGUUAUGGAGAUGGAAGACGCUUCUCACCACCAUUAUCUCUCCUUAUGAUUAAAUCAAUUAGGGAACGUCCUCUAAUUAAUUACUAAUUAACAAAUUGCCAAGGAAUGUCCUUGGGCCUUAGGCAUCAAAACAAUUGUCAAUUGCAUUAAGAAAUAGAGAGAUCCAAUCCUAGCUAUCCAAACGUAUGGAGAUAACGCUAGAUCAUACAAUUUUCUUGGGUUUGAUCCCAAGUGUUCUCAUGUAAGAAUAAUCUAAGUAAUUAUGGACUUAAAUUAUUCAAACUAACAAAUAAUUAUUUUGCAAUAAAAAAUCAACGUAGAUCUCAAUAACAAAAUAAUAUGAAAAUUAAAUAUGAAAUUGCAUGAAUAUUGAGUUCCCAAAAGUUAAACAAUAUUAGAUCAAGUCUCACAACCCAUUAAUCAACUAAAGUUUCAACCAAUAUUCAACUAGAUCAAAGAAACCAGCCACUCAUUGGCUGAAUUAAAAACAGAAAAAUAAAAGGGAAAAGAAAAGAAAGGAACCGAAGAGCUGAUUUCUUCCUUUGCGCAGAAGCUUGCGGAAUCGCCGAAUUGGAA